UUUUGUUAGGUAAAAUAUCACUUUGGUGAUGUGGUAGCCGUACAGCUGUCAGUCCGUUCCUGCUUUCAAACUGUUCCAGGCCAAGAGCAGAGGGCAGGGUGAGUGUUUCAAAGUGGAGUGCAGAGGGAAAGGUAUUCACCAGGAAGCCGAAUUAGGAGGUGAAUGUUAGAUAACAUCCAGCUUUUCUGAUCCUCAGGAACUCUUCAAACUUCCAAUAUUCAUGCUGAGGGAACAAUGUUCACGGGCAUGGAGUCACAAAGAGACAUGGACCUGAAGGAAACUGUCACUUGCUUCAGUGGACUAGAGCAUGCGAUGGUCGGGAAAUCAUAGAGAGGCACUCACUCAUGGUUUACUAGGUUGAACUGUAUUUGUAAUGAAAUCAAGAGAAUGCAUAUCACUCAAACUCAAGGAGAAACUAAAUAAGAAUUUCAAAAUAUUAAAACUCAUCGGUCAUGGUCGUGGUCAUGAGUGCUUUGUAACCAGCUUUCUCCUGACCCUGAGAACACUGGCUAAUGACUCUGGAGGAGGACUUCUACAGUAAUCACAGUGAAUUUAUUUCAAACCAGGACUUGAAUGAAGCAGAUGGCAAAUUUGUAAACUAAUUAAUCACUGUUCUUGGAGUUGCAUUUUGUGUUUAAGAGAGAUAAUAUAGGAUGCAGAUCAAGCUAAGACUUGCCAAGUCAAGCCACAAAAUACAGAAAUUACCUUGCUAAAGCCAGAGCUAUGGAAAAAGGAAAAGACACCUUUACUGUCCUAAUAUUUAACUGCAGAAUUACCUAGUCCUGGCAGGAGUCACUAAAAACUAAUUUUUCUUUAGAUUUAUAAGACCAAGAACAUCAGAUGACCUGCAGAUGACAGCAGCACCAGAAAAGCUGACUGGCCAAAAUUUACAACUACCCUGAUGCUCUCUGCCUGUGGAAUCUGCCUCCCUCAAAUCCCUGUAUGAGCCUGGAGACCACAACCCCAAGGGUACAUUCCUGGUAACUUUGUCAAGAAAUCAGCAGGUAGCUUUGUCUUCCAGUAACUCCACUAAAAGCUUCCAGUUCAAUGGAUGAACGUCUUCUUUUACUUCACUGAGAAAAGGUCAAACUCUGGUUCGCCCUCCAAUCGCCU